rnacentral:rRNA from 1 species
GAGUCGGUGAUCGAUCGGUCGUCUGUGCUGGUGGCAACACAUGUGCACGUCGAUCGUCAUUCCAUUCUCCUUUCAAUCGUCCAAGUGUGUGUUUGGUCGACCUCGGUCGAAGAGUUGUGGCCCUUGGCCUUGAUUCAUUCCAGAUGCGCCUUGGUUAUUUCACCCACUCUGGGUAUUUGAAACGAAGAACAAUCUGUAUAAACUAUACAACUUUCAACAACGGAUCUCUUGGCUCUCGCAUCGAUGAAGAACGCAGCGAAAUGCGAUAAGUAAUGUGAAUUGCAGAAUUCAGUGAAUCAUCGAAUCUUUGAACGCACCUUGCACCCUUUGGUAUUCCGAAGGGUACGCCCGUUUGAGUGUCAUUGUACUCUCAACCCCACGACUUUUGUUGUGUGGGUUGGACUUGGGUCCCGUCGCUAUUUGCGACCGAUCCGAAAUGUAUCAGCGUGUGUCCGUCGUGACGAUAAACCGAUUGUUAAGUUUCAUCGGGCUCGCUCUGUCGAGGUUGUCCGGCGAAAGCACAUGCCAAACCCCUUUACUUUUGACCAAUUGACCUCCAAACCGGGGGGAACCCCCCCUGGACUUAAACCUAUCCAUUAGCCCGAAGAAAAAU